rnacentral:tRNA from 1 species
AGGGAUGUGGCUCAGUGGUAGAGCACUUGCAUAACAUGUGCAGAGUCCUGGGUUCAACCUCCAGCAUCACAA